rnacentral:rRNA from 1 species
AUGAGUGCUCGGGAGUGGUGUGAGAAUGGAGGACUCUACAUCAAUGAUGACACCUUCAUGAUGGCAUCUGCAAGGACUACAUCUUCAGGACCUCAAGACUUCAAGACCUCAGGAUUUCGAGACUCAAGACAAGAAUUCAAUACACACUACUGGGUGAAGGAAGGAUUUGAUGGGCACCCUGGAGCAACCCGUGGAUGGUCAGGAUGCAUGGAGAAGCGCCAUGACAUCUUGCGGAAAGCUUCACCCAGUCUCAAAGAUACGGAAGAAUACUUCAUGCCCAGAAGCUUACCAGUGCAACCGCAAGUCACUAUGGGCUCUGGCUUGGUUGACCCUAGUGGUGACUCUGGCUGGGACAGUGCUAGCAAAUGUAGAACUACGGUAGGAUUGGAUGAGCAUCGGACAAUGGUUAGGGGAACUCUUCGGAAGACCGUGUUUCGGUCGUCUUGUUCUCAAACACCCUGA